rnacentral:misc_RNA from 2 species
AGCAGCCGCGGUAAUUCCAGCUCCAAUAGCGUAUAUUAAAGUUGUUGCAGUUAAAAAGCUCGUAGUUGAAUUUUGGAUUCUUCCAAUUGGUCCAUCUUUUAGAUGAGUACUGGUUGUGUGGGGUCUAUCCGCCUGGUGAUACGUAAUGUCCUUUAUUGGAUGUUGCGGGUAGUCAGGACCUUUACCUUGAAAAAAUUAGAGUGUUUAAAGCAGGCUUAUGCCGGAAUACAUUAGCAUGGAAUAAUAGAAUAGGACGAAGUUGUUUUAUUUUGUUGGUUUCUAGGACAACCGUAAUGAUUAAUAGGGAUAGCUGGGGGCAUUAGUAUUCAAUUGUCAGAGGUGAAAUUCUUGGAUUUAUUGAAGACUAACUACUGCGAAAGCAUUUGCCAAGGAUGUUUUCAUUAAUCAAGAACGAAAGUUAGGGGAUCGAAGACGAUCAGAUACCGUCGUAGUCUUAACCAUAAACUAUGCCGACUAGGGAUCGGGCGAUGUUGUUUCCAUGACUCGCUCGGCACCUUAU